rnacentral:sRNA from 1 species
GCCAGGUGCAGUGGCGCAUGCCUGUAAUUCCAGCGGCUCAGGAGGCUGAGACAGGAGGAUCGCAAGUUCAAAGCCAUUCUGUGCACUAAGCAACUCAGUGAGACCCUGUCUCUA